AUUGAACGCUGGCGGCAGGCCUAACACAUGCAAGUCGAGCGAGCGGCGGACGGGGGCGUAAUGUAUGGGGACUGCCCGAUAGAGGGGGAUAACUACUGGAAACGGUAUCUAAUACCGCAUACUAUCGGAUAACCCAUAUGGGGUUAGCUAGUAGGUGAGGUAAUGGCGCACCUAGGCGACGAUCCCUAGCUGGUCUGCGAGGUUGAUCAGCCACACUGGGACUGAGACACGGCCCAGACUCCUACGGAGGCAGCAGUGGGGAAUAUUGCACAAUGGGCGCAAGCCUGAUGCAGCCAUGCCGCGUGUAUGAAGAAGGCGCUAGGGUUGUAAAGUACUGUCAGUCGGGAGGCGUUACCGACAGAAGAAGCACCGGCUAACUCCGUGCCAGCAGCCGCGGUAAUUC
rnacentral:rRNA from 1 species